CGCGAACGAUCCGACGGAGACAUGGUGUUCAAAGGUGAGAGACGACCGAAAACUUUUACUAUAAUAAUAUAUAUAUAUAUAUAUAUAUAUACGUGUCUGCGAGUGUGCGUGUGCGUGCGUGUGCGUGUGCGU